UCAGGACGAACGCUGGCGGCGUGCUUCAUACAUGCAAGUCGAACGAGAAUCUGACUUCGGUCAGAGGAAAGUGGCGGACGGGUGAGUAAAAUGUAGAGAAUCUGCCCUUAAGCGGGGGACAACAGUUGGAAACGACUGCUAACACCCCAUAUGCGCGUAGCUGAGAUGCUAUUCGUGAAAACUCCGGUGCUUAAGGAUGAGUCUGCAUCUGAUUAGCUAGUAGGCGGUGUAAUGGACCACCUAGGCGACGAUCAGUAGCUGGUUUGAGAGGAUGAUCAGCCACAAUGGGACUGAGACACGGCCCAUACUCCUACGGGAGGCAGCAGUAGGGAAUUUUGCGCAAUGGGGGAAACCCUGAACCGCAGCAACGCCGCGUGAUUGAAGAAGCCCUUCGGGGUGUAAAGAUCUGUCAGUGGGGACGAAACUUGACGGUACCCACAGAGGAAGCAUCGGCUAACUCCGUGCCAGCCGCAGC
rnacentral:rRNA from 1 species